UCCUCCCUAAUUUUCUUUGUCCUACACCCAAUUAUUAUUUUUAAAUAGUUAAUUAAUUAAUUAAAAUCACAAAAAAAAACCUUAAUAAUAACUUUUCAUACUAUGACACAUGCACCAAGUGCAAAGGUCCAUAUAGCAAAAAAAAAAAAGACAAAGUAACUUUAUCUAUAUAAAUCAAAUGUCACAAUAUUAUAGGAUAAGAAAAUUAAUUAAAUUACUAUAAAAGAUAAAAUCAUGACAUAUGAGUAAUUAAUUGAAAAGAUUAAAAUUAAGUUGGAAACUUUUGUGAUGACUACCAAAGUCCUUGAAUUGUCUCUUAUAUAUACUAGUUAAGUGUACAUACUUUCCACGUGUGUCUCAUGUUAAUUAACACUAAAUGUAUGCAAAUAGAAAAAUUUAAAAACCUAAACUAAUCGAUGCUUCUUUUUAGUGGAUUUAGAUUAUAAUUUCUUUAAUCCAAAAAUUUGCCUACUGUAUGACCAUAUCAUUAGUCUGAAGCUCAAAAAUUAGCAAUUACUUGGAUGCAUAAAGGGCAGUAUAUUCAUGUCGUUCCAAAGUUUAAAAGAAGUAGAAGAUGUUAAAGAGGUAACUAAUGCAAAAACUAAACUGGGCAGCAUGAAAAUUUUAUUCUUUCUAUUAAUUUGAUACUUUUAUGGAGCUAUAUAUGCACUCAACGGACGAUUUGAUAGGCGAAACAACAAUGACGAUGAAUUGUAUAUAGACUACACUUUAAAAAAAUUUAAUGUAUUGUCAUGACUACAAAAUUCAAUGAAUUGUAUUGAGUUUGACUUGAACACAAUGAAUAGAAAAGAGCACAUCCUAUUGUAAAUUCUAAUUAUCAUUGUUUCAAGCAGUGAAACACAAUAAAGUUGUUUGAUAUCCCUCCUUAUUCGUUAAAGCUGCUAGCAACAUACGCGAAAGAGAAACAAAUUAGAGUACUCUUGAACAAUUACAAGUGUUCCUAAUAUAGCUACAAAAGAGGUGAAAAGAUUUAUAAGUAAUAUUUGGGGAUGAGCAAAUUCUAUAUCUUCUUAAACGUACAUGUGUUUUGUAGUUCUAUUUUAGUGAAACAAGAAGUAAUUGAUUAACGAAUUUUAUCACGUACAAAAGCAAUAAUAGUAUAAUAAUUAGAAAUUUUACUUCUCAUAUAUUUAGGAAG
rnacentral:lncRNA from 1 species